rnacentral:rRNA from 1 species
AGUAACGGCGAGUGAAGCGGUAAAAGCUCAAAUUUGAAAUCUGGUACUUUCAGUGCCCGAGUUGUAAUUUGUAGAAUUUGUCUUUGAUUAGGUCCUUGUCUAUGUUCCUUGGAACAGGACGUCAUAGAGGGUGAGAAUCCCGUUUGGCGAGGAUACCUUUUCUCUGUAAGACUUUUUCGAAGAGUCGAGUUGUUUGGGAAUGCAGCUCAAAGUGGGUGGUAAAUUCCAUCUAAAGCUAAAUAUUGGCGAGAGACCGAUAGCGAACAAGUACAGUGAUGGAAAGAUGAAAAGAACUUUGAAAAGAGAGUGAAAAAGUACGUGAAAUUGUUGAAAGGGAAGGGCAUUUGAUCAGACAUGGUGUUUUUUGCAUGCACUCGCCUCUCGUGGGCUUGGGCCUCUCAAAAAUUUCACUGGGCCAACAUCAGUUCUGGCAGCAGGAUAAAUCAUUAAGAAUGUAGCUACCUCGGUAGUGUUAUAGCUUAUUGGAAUACUGCUAGCUGGGAUUGAGGACUGCGCUUCGGC